rnacentral:misc_RNA from 1 species
GAACGCACAUUGCGCCUUCCGGUAUUCCGGAAGGCAUGCCUGUCCGAGCGUCAUCAAAAACCACUCAAGUAGUUUUGCUUGGUUAUGAAAGAAGAGUUUGCUUGCGAAUUCCCUUUCGAAAUUCAAUGGCGGAGGGUCUCAUGAUUCCGGCGUAGUAAUAACUUAUUCGCUUGGUCAUUGUAACAAUCCUGCCUUAAACCCCCAAUUCUAGUGUUUGACCUCGGAUCAGGUAGGGAUACCCGCUGAACUUAAG